GGAUCCCUCUCUUAACAAAAAAUAAGCCUUUCCCUCUUAUGACUCUUAUUCUGCCUCCUCUCACCCCCAAGGAAAUUCGUUUCUAGACCCAACCCGUCCAAAUCCCUCAACCUCACGCUGGCAAAAGCCAUCGGCAGAGGUGUCGAUUGCAGAUCAGCCGUCGUCAAUUCCAAGAGCCACUCUCCAAUUCCUCGACAUUUCCUUCUCCACCGCCGAUAAACAAUAACCAGCUCGUCUUCGUCGACGAUGAGAAUAUGCCCUUGGAAGGUGCCAUUCAGUUCGACAAGCCCAGCUCCUCUGCUCGAAUCAGAAAAUAAGGGUUAGUAAUUCAUCGAUUCAAAACCCUAAUUUCCCUAUUUUUGACUUUGAAACCCUCUUCUCGAGCUCAUCUCCUUUCUUGAAUGGAACCCUCCAACUGGAUCUCCGAUGUCAAGCUGGGUCUGUGAAAUUGUGGCUUAAUUGACGCCAUUGUUAGGGUAUCUCUGCCCAGUCAUCCUAUCUCUCCCUUUGAACCAUUUUGGAUGAGGCACAUUACAUAAAAUCUAGGCGUUGCAAUACUGCAAAAGAUGUUCUUGCUUUAGAGUCUACAUAUAAAUAGGCUCUAAGCAGCACGCCCCUUCAGAAUCGUGUUGGAGAGAUAUAUUGACUAUAAUCAAGGUUUCUUGGUCAUCCAACAACAUAUUUGAAUUUGAUUUACGCAGGUCCGCUACUUGCAAUUAGUCCCAUACUCGUAUUACUUGUGUAAGGACUGUGACUGCAGAACUCUUGAUCAUAGUUCCACACUAAUUGUUACAGGGGUUUGAAUCUCUAAGCAGAUCUAUCUCUCCAACUCUCAAUUCCUCUCUAGUCAGGUUUGUCAAGAUGUUUACUUCAAGGAAGAAGAUUCAUAAGGAUAAGGAUGCUGAGCCAACUGAGUUUGAAGAGUCGAUUGCAUAACUAAGCUAUAUUGCUUUCCUUAGCAUUGGAUGCUGGACCUGUGAUAGCCAGUGAAAGAUUGGAAAUUGAUGAUCAAACUAAUGAUCCAAACUAUUUAUUCACUGGAUUCCUUCCAUAUUUGAUGGUUCAGCUAAAUUAAAAUUAUGCUGGAGCUUAAAAUUAUCACAACCAAAGUUCGCAGCCAUAACACUAUUCAGGUCAACCAAGCAGAUUACAUUUUUUUUCGAAAGGGUGCAUUAGUAUUCCCCUGUGGAGGUCCACAUCACUUGAGGUGCUACUGCAUUUGACAAAAAUAUGAUACUGUCUAGUUUACUGCUGGGAUAGGAUCAUGACAUACAGUCGUGCCUUCUGUUGUUUUCUGAACCAUUUCUACUGCUGGGAUAGGACCAAAUGACACAGCUUGCAUCAGUCCACGCACAAUACAGUAGACUUGUGAUACCAACCCCAGCCAUCAAUGAUGGGUAUCGACCCGAAAUGCCUCAAACUGUUCCAGAUUCGCUGCUGAACUGAAAGGGUUGGUUUCACUUACCAUUAGCUGGUUUGAUGGUUAUGUUUUUGUCUACUUUGAGUUAGUCCUCAAAGCAUUUUGAUGGAAAUUAUUCUUGGACAAGGAUUAUGUUGUUAAAGGGGGGAAAUCUUAGUGAUAUUCCACCUUCAAUAACAAUGUAUUCUAGAAAGCAGCCUUGUUUUUUGUAAUCCAAGAAUUUACUUUGGUAUGAAAUGUAUUUUGCUAGGAAUGUAAAUAACAUCUUGCUAUGAAUGCAAAGUUUAAUAUUUUCGAUUGA